UACAGUAUACCAUAUUAUACAUAAUUUAAAUAAUAUAUUUACAAAUCUAAGAUAACUGAAAUAUAUGCAACUAAGCCGACCACACACAGCGAAGCCGGCCAGCGCACCAGCUUGCUAAGAUGAUCGAGAAGACGAUUAGGAAACAGGUUCUUUCUACACGCUAUUAUGAGAAGAAAGGGUUGUUGGGUUUGAUGCAGCUAUGGUUUAGUACUCGGAUUGAACACAAUUAAGGUUUAUAAUAGCAACUUCUUCCAUUUAGUUUUCAUUUGUACAUAACUAUUUUUUUUCCAUGAUGAUCAAUAAAUUUAACAUUUCAUCAAAAAAAAUAUAUAUGCAAUUAACAAAUUUAAAUAAUGUCAUACCUUAUUUGGAACUAAAACAUUAUGGUACAGUUCAACGGAUUGAUGUAAUCCAAUUAUGGUUUAAUAAAAUUCAACAUUUAGUAGCAUGAUAAUAUUUAAAACAAUCUACAAUUUUAUACAUAAAUUAUCAAAUGAUUUGAAACUUAUAACCAAUUGAAAGCAAAAUAUUAAUCAAUUAUUAUGAUUUUUAUUUUUGAAUAUUUAUAUAUAUGCACGAGCACAGAAAAAUCACCUAAUAACUAUUAAUUAUGAUGAUUUUUUUUUUUGGUCUUUGUUAUACAUUAUAACUUGUAUAAAUGAGAGAGAGUUGUUCUAGUAAUUAAUAGAUAAAUUAGAGUCAUUCUAAAUAAUUUUCUCUUAAUAUAUUUUUGAAAGUUAAUGGCUCCGACUGUGACAUAUUGUAUUAGAGUUGAUUUACAAUAAAAGUUACAAUCCGAUGUAACUUGCAGUAAAAAUUAUGUGGUAAAAACUGUAGAUUUAUGUAGUGAGUUCGCAGUAAAAAUAUGAGUUAUUAUUUUUUUAAAUAACCGACUGGUAACACUUUCGAUGUAUAAAUUGUAGUAUUUUUUAUUUCACAAAAUAACAUUUAUGGUAGAUUUAACAAAAUAGACUGAAAAUAUAAAAUAUAUAAUAAAAAUUAAAGAAAUAUACUUCGAUAUGUAUAUAUAUUAGGAAAGGUAUUUAUAUAUUUUCAUAAUUUUGUAUAUAAAAUUUUUAGUUACCAAACAUAGUUAACAAUUAUUUUUUAAAAAAAUAAUAAUUAAUUUCAAAUAAGAAAAUCUAUAAAAAAAGGUUUGACUAACUAGUGAAUAAUUACGUGAUUUUUUACAAUAGUUUGGUAAGUGAAGGAAAGUAAACGUGAGAAAUGAUUACCAUGCAAUUAAUAUAUUAAAUUGUUAAAAAAUUAAAAGUAACCGUAAUACUCCAUAGAAAACAAAAAAAACUACCACAUCAACUUCUAAUACAUACAAAAUGGCUUGAUGUUGAUUAAUUAUUUGAUUUACCAAUUUUACAAAAGAGAUAACUCAAAAUCGUACCUCAAUGAUAACACAUGAUAACUCAAACACAAACUCAAAAAAUAAAAAAUUAAUCAUGAUUAGUAACAUUUUUGAGUUAUAGACAUAAAUCAAACCUAAUUAUGAUUAGACAGAUGCAAAGUUCUGCAAAUCCAAACUAAAUGAAGCAAAAAAAUAUUUACCAAAAAAAGAACAAAAUAUCCUUUCAGUUUUUUUUUGGCAGCAAACGACUUCUAUUACUCAAAUUUGAAGUGGUCUAGGUAACCAAUAGAACAACCAAUAAAACAUAAAUAUCUAUGAAAAGAAGAUGCAUUCCUAGCUAACGAAUCAUCAUCUCAUUUUGCGUCCUUGGAAAGUAGUUGAUCUCGAUAUCCGAAAAACAGAACCGAAAAAUUUGAAUGAUUUCUAGCUCAGUUGAGAAGUUGGACAAGCUUGUGGUUGUUCUAUCAUUACAAUCAGGUCCUUACAAUCUGUCUCAAAUCUCUGACAGGUCGAGUAUUGUAUCAUGCUCUCCAUUGUCCAUUAUAGUGCUUUCAGUUCCGAGUGUAACACUGUCUCACGCCUCCUUAAAUUCCUUGUACCCAUGAGUUAAAUUCCUUUCAGUUACAAACAAAGUUUUGGUGGCGCAUAUAAAAAAUAUAAAGGCUAAAACGUAAAGAAACUAUAAUACAAGAACCUAAUAACUUUUUAAACAAAAAUUAAUCUUAAAAUAUUCUCCUUAGUUUUGUCACUAACCUUUUCCCAUUCCAACAUGUAUAACCUUGCUUAUACUUUCUGAAAAUAUUCUCAGUUUUCUCGUUUCGUAAUGCGCAGCAAGUGAUUAUAUAAACGAUUAUCAACCCGAUAUGCGCCACAAAACGAAAAAUAACAGCUUUUAACCAAUCUAGCUUGAGAUUUGCAAGCAAACCUGCUUUGCAGGAAUCACAACUGUAGCACAAAGUGUUUUGAUCAUUGCUCCACUGUAGCCAAUCUAUAUCUACACACAAAGCUAUGGGACUUAUCCAACAUUUUGUUGGGAGUUUGCACCAACCCGACUGAAAAAUAAACAAAUGGUUAGAUUUAAAUUAAAGUACAAUAAUAGAACAAUACCUUUAUCAACUUCUCAAAAAAAAAAGGGCAAUUUUCCAUAAUAGCACUUUUGAAGUUUUUGUCUCCAAAAUAGCACCAGAAAGAGAAAGUCACAUAAAUAACAUUCAUUAAUGGACAAAAUGUCUUUAAUACCCUUCUUUUAAAAUUAAUUAAAAAAAAAAAAUCAGAACAACCUCUCUCUCACGCCAAGCAUGGCGAUUCUUCUUCUCGACGCGAGGCGACGGCGGCGACCUCGCUGUUGACAUCGUCUGAUUCAUUCACUCCCCGACGACCUCGCCGUUGACAUCGUCGCUCGCGUGCCCAGAAGCCACUACCCGACACUCUCCCUCGUCUCCAAGAGUUUCAGGAAUCUCACCGCCUCGUCUAAGCUCUACAAGAGGCGAUCUCAGCUAGGCAUCACCCAACACCGUGUCUACGCCGUCCUACGCAACCGCAGCACCGGUGAUUUCAGUUUCUACAUCACCCAACAAUGUGUCUCUGUUGCUUGGUGGAAUCAAUUCUCUGUUGGGAGUAGAGUGCUCUUUCAGCAUCCCAUUGAUUAACAAAAUUCCCACCUUAAUCAUGGGUAUGGAUGUAUCUCAUGGGUCUCCAGGUCGUGCAGAUGUUCCUUCAGUAGCAGCGGUAUUGCUUUAUUCUUACUUUGCUUGUCCUUUAUUUUCCGUCUGUUUACUUUUCAUGUCUCAGCCUAUGCUGUAAGGUUGUUGGUUCAAAAAACUGGCAGCUGUGAGAAGUCAGUCACAAAAACUGGAAAUGAUUGAUUCGCUCUUCCAACCAGUUGACGACCCUGUGAACGGAGACAACCGGUAUCAUGAAUGAAUUGUUUGUGGAAUUUUUCAAGACAAGCAACGCACGAAAGCCUAAGCAGAUUAUCAUAUUCAGGGAUGGAGUAAGUGAAUCACAGUUCAACCAAGUCUUGAACAUUGUGGUGGAUCAGAUAAUAAAGGCGUAUCAACGUCUUGGUGAGACCGACGUGCCAAAGUUCACUGUCAUUGUGGCUCAGAAAAGACACCACACCAAAUUGUUUCAAGCUAAGGGUCAUGAAAAUGUUCCUGCAGGAACCGUUGUGGACACCAAGAUUGUACACCCGACCAACUAAGAUUUUUACAUGUGUGCCCAUGCAGGAAUAAUAGGAACUUCAAGACCGGCUCACUAUCAUGUCUUGCUGGAUGAGAUUGGUUUCUCUCCCGAUGAGUUGCAGAACCUCAUCCAUUCUCUCUCCUAUGUGUAAGUCUCUCUACACCCUAAUCCUCGCAUUCGCAACUUACAAAAAACUCAAUUCUAAUCUUCUUUAAUCAUCGGUCCAGCAACCAGCGGAGCACAACGGCAACCUCAAUUGGUAAACACACUUCCUUAAUCAAAUUCUCUUUUAUAAUAAAACACAAGCUUCUCAAUAUUCAAUGUGUCCCUUCUGUUUGUUUGUUUACUUGUUCUCAAUGGCUCCAGUGCGAUACGCUCAUUUAGCAGCAGCUCAGUUUGCGCAAUUCACAAAGUUUGAAGAUGUAUCAGAGGAGAAAGUUCCGCAGCUUCCGCGUUUGCAGGAGAGAGUCGAAAGCAACAUGUUCUUCUGCUGAGUAAAUAAAUAAAUAAAUAAAUAUUAAGUAGACGUAGUUCUGCUUAUUCGCUAGCCUAAUGAGCUCUCUUAAGAGGAAGCUUAUCGUUUUGCAUAUACGCAAUCAUCAUCUAGCGUACAGUCUUAGGAGUAUGAAGAAGGAAGAGCCCUCGUAGAAUUUUUUUUUUAAAAGAGGCUCCUAGGCUUAAAUUAUUCUUAGCCCACGUUUGCUUGUUUACUAAAUUAUUCUUAGCCCACGUUUGCUUGUUUACUAAAUUACUGUAGCUCCUUGAUAAAUGUCAAGUGCUAGCUUAACAUUUUACCAAAAAAUAAUGAAAAUGUCAAGUGCUAGCUCACCUGAGGACUCACCAUGAUAAUAAUUAUCUCUUUUAGUAUCACGAAUCCAGAUGUGCCAUAACUUACCUGGAUCAUUAAGGAUCAUGAAACAAGAAUUCCGCAGGAGACAAUCCUCAAAUUUAAGCUAUUUUCACACGGUGAAAUGGCUCCAAGAGGCAACCGGAAGUAUACUUUUGUUUUCUUUUGUUUUUAUCACAACUGACUUUCUUCUAUGCAUAUUCUGAAGUAAAUAUUUUUUUGUUUAUUUAUGGGUUGGUGGGUAACCGGAAUUCAAAUUAACUUACUCGACAUCGGUUUCUCGCAAAAAAAAAAAACUUACCAUUAAACAAAGAACAUUAAAGUAAGAUAGCUUGAAACAUUUUCAAUAAUUCUAUCAAGAAAGUGUUAAAUGUGGUAUCAUUAUAAAACACAUAUGUUAUAUAGGAUAGCUUUUGGCACAUUCAGGCUGGGUUUCCAAAAAAAUAAAAUGAGUAUUUUUUUGCAUAAGUAUGUUUUCGAAGAGAAUCAAAAGCGUGUAAGGAAUGUUAGACAAUCCUUGUUCAGGAUGGUUAUCCUAAUUUGGAACUUAAUCUUCCAGAAAAAAACAUAAUCAAAAUCUAUAAGAAAAUUCACUGACUAUAGAAAUCAGCAAAAUAGAGUUAGUUGUUUACAAAAUAGAGAACACAUAUAAAACAAAUAACAUUGAAAUAGGAUAGCUUGAAGAAUUUUCAAUAAUUCUAUCGAGAAAGUAUUAAAUGUGGUAUCAUUAUAAAACACAUAUUUUAUAUAGGAUAGCUUUUGGCACUUUCAGGAUAGGUUUCCAAUAAAAAAAAUGAGUGUGUUUUCUUGUAUAAGUCUGUUUUCAAAGAGAAUCAAAAGCUUGUAAGGAAUGUUGGACAAUCCUUGUUCAGGAUGGCUAUCCUAAAAUGGAAUUAAUAUUCCAAAAAAAACAUAAUCAAAAUCUAUAAGAAAAUUCAUUGGCUAUAAAAAUCACUAAAAUAGAAUUAGUUGUCUACAAAAUAGAGAACACGUAUCAAACAGAGAAUAUUAAAAUAGGAUAGCUUGAAGCAUUUUCAAUAAUUCUAUCGAGAAAGUGUUAAAUGUGGUAUCAUUAUAAAACACAUAUGUUAUAUAGGAUAUCUUUUGGCACUUUCAGGAGGGGUUUCCAGAAAAAUAAAAUAAAUGUGUUUUCUUGCAUAAGUCUGUUUUCUAAGAGAAUCAAAAGCGUGUAAGGAAUGUUAGACAAUCCUUGUUCAGGAUGGCUAUCCUAAUUUGGAACUUAAUCUUCCAAAAAAGAAAAACAUAA